GACUUAAAAUGAAAAAAAAAGGUUAUAUCAACAAUUUGUUUGAAAACUACAAUGUUUCUUAGAUAAAAAAAAGAAGGACAUCAGGCCUUGUCCUGAGUGUGAUAUAAUUACACGAUUUCCUUUUACAAAUCGGUUUAAUAUAGCGGUGAAACAGUACUUUUAGUUGAGCUUUAUUAAGGAGAAUCAAUUGCUGCAGUUACAUAAUUGUUACAUUGAUCUUUAUGUUCAGAUUCACUUUAUUUCUAUAAACUAUCAAAGCUUCUCAAACCUAUGAGCUCAGAUCUACUUUCUAAAAGGGUGAUGUUUCAUUAAUAGUCUCUUAUAAUGCAUUUUGUAGUACUCUAUCAAAGUCCAGUGAUUCAAAAAUUUUUAAGUUUCUAUUUUUGAAAAAUCCAAAGUUUCAAAAAUUAAAAGUCUGAAAUAAUAAAGUCCCAGAAUUUUAGUCUCAAGUGUUACUUUAUAUGUACACAUUUCUCUUUACCGAUUUCUCGGUAAAGAUAAGUUUUCCAUUACCGCUAUUAAAUUUUAAUGUUUAAUGCAGUUCAUACAAAAUUAGCUCCACCAGUGUGUCGAGACUUUGGAUAUCUCUGACCUAUAUAACAUUUUCAAUACUUUUUAUAUACACGUGUUUUAUACAGAAUUAUGCAAAAAUACCAAAAGAUGUUACGAAUAAUGAUGGAUUGUUUGUUUACGUAAGAAAUAAGAAUAAACGAAGUAUUUUACACAGUCAAGGUGCCAUUUUAAUCGGUAUGCACCGUCUGCAAAUCUGAGCUGAUCACACGUGUCCAUGGAGCCGAAGCGGACUUGAUAAAUUUAAAAUAAAAUUGAUCCAACCAUUUGGUGCGCUGCCCUGACCCAGUUCGCGUUUUGCUCCCGUCUCCAGUGAGUAGAAUAAGACGACGAACAACCAAGAAUCGCCUCAGGGAAUUGCCGCCCUCAGUGGCGGGAAAUCGUCGCGAGCCCUGGAAAACUAUACAGGGUGUCCCAAGCAACUGGGACACAUUACAAUUUUGAAAGAGUAAAAUUGCAACGAAAAGAACAAAAUGUAAUCUUUACUCUUUUAGAAAUUCAGCGACCAUUAAAAUUUGUUAAUUGUAUCAUGGAUCUGGGAUUAUUAGGUCUGUUGAACAUGGAGGAAGCGGACGUUCAGCAGGAAUCAAGGGACCAAGUUGGCAGUUUGAUUUUCUCUCCUCCGCCGAUGAAGAAGUCCGACACGAGGGAUAGCAUUUCCUCCGUGGACAGCGACGUGAGCCUGUCGUUCGACCGAAGAGGAUCCAAAGGAGAGGAAGCUGAUCUGUCAGACUGUGGAAGCACCGGUAGCGAACGAAAGUUGAACGAUGCAACGGAACAGCGACCGAGUUCUGAUCCCGACUCAGGAGCGGACUGCCGGGAGGAAACCAGGGACCAAAAGCAAGAAACGGUUGCAGCAAGCACCGCGACACAGGCCGACGAUUUUGUCCCGCCGAACGACGAGUUGACCGAGAAAAUUUGUGCCCAAGUGGAGUUUUACUUCUCCGACGAGAAUAUCGUUAAGGACGCUUUCUUGUUAAAACACGUGAAGAGGAACAAGGAGGGCUACGUGUCUCUGAAGCUCAUCUCGAGUUUCAAGCGAGUGAAACACCUUAGCAAGGACUGGAGAGUGGUCGGUGCCGCUUUGGCAAAAUCCAAGAAGCUUCAAGUGAAUCCUCAGGGUACGAAGUUGAGGAGAAUCGAUCCUCUGCCGCCUUUCGAUCAGACCACCCCCUCGAGGACGAUUCUGGCUGCGAGACUUCCGGUGGAGAAGUUAUCGGUGGAGACCGUCGCUGAGAUUUUCAGGCCAUGUGGGGAAAUCGCUCUCAUCAGAGUCCUUCGACCUGGACAUCCCGCGCCAGCCGAGGUGCGACAGGCGAUCGCUAAGAGGCCAGAGUUGGCAGCCAGCGACGAGUGCGCCAUGGUCGAGUUCACGGAUUCAGCGGCCGCUCGUGCCGCUUUACAAAUGUCCUUGGGCGAUGCCAAGAUGUUCGAGCUGCAGCAAUCUGGAGACAAGAAGAAGAAACAGCAACCUGCGAAGAAAAGUGCCCUGACGAGAUUGGCCAAAGAGGAAACUUACAACUCAUCGAGUGGACCCAGUGGAUCUGAAAACGAGGAUGGACGAGCCAGACAUAAGAAACCCAUUCAUACGUACCCAGCGUAUCAUCCUUAUCCGGGCAACCAUUAUCAAGGACCCCCAUCACCAGAUGCAUGGUUAUCUCGCCGAUUAUCCUCCUGUUCGGUGUCAGGUUCAGAAAAUGGUUUCAUCCUCCGUCGUUUGUCAUCCUGUUCCGGCUCAGGUUCCGGUUCGGAAACCGGAAGCUUCGGUAGACGAUACUCAGCCUGUUCCUCCGGUUCGGAGACCGGUUACUACCACCCAGUUUUCCCGGCGAAUUACUAUUAUCCGGAAAAUCGACGUUACUCGUGUUGUUCGAGUUCCGGUUCCGAGUGCAACGGUGCCUGUUACCAUUCUAGUCGUCGCGGAUCCGCCGAUUACGGAUUCAUAAGGAGGUUAUCCGCUUGCAGUCGAGAUUCUGGCUACGACAUCGGUGUGAGAAGGCUGUCCUUGUGUUCCUCCGGUUCCGAACAGGCUGGAUAUUGUCGACCCAGAAGUAACAGCGGUAUUGCGUUAACGCAUUUGCCUGAGAACGUGACGAGAAUGCCAUCUGGCCCAGAUGGCACGCGUGGGUUUGGCCGACCGCCAAAAAUGAAUGCCAUGGCACCACCCAUGGAGCCCACGUGUUAGAAAUUAUUUAUUCUCGACAAACUUUCUUUCAGAUUCUAUUACAAUUCUCGCUAAUUAUGGAACUGACAAUGUACAAGUAGAACGGUGGAAAUAAAAUAGGCUAUAAGUACCAUUUUUCAAAAAUUCUUUUUACAAAAAUGGUACGCAGUGGUGCAAAAUUUAAACCUGGAAGGUUUAUCAUUAGAUUGUCAAACUUUAUGUAAAGAGUAAACUAUACAUGGUAUACUUUUUACAAACCUUAAAUUACUUCAUAUAUGUAUGUGGAAUUCCAUGUAGAAAUAACAGAUACACAAAAUAGGUAAAUAAAUUAAUUUUAAUUAGAAAAAGUACGUCACUGAGGUGUACUUAGGACAAUGAUAUCGAGGACAAUAGCAGUAAAUAUGAACUGAAGUAAUAUUGCAAUAAUUCACAAUUUUUAAAUGACCAGUUUUUACAAGUUUAGUUAUCAUAUAUUUUGAUAAACAAGUUGUUUUCACAGAAAUUUAAAUGUUGCAGUUGUAUUUAUUUUCACUGUUCAAAUAUGUAAUCAGUUAUUAUUAAGAAUUUGGUACCUUGUCAGUUUAAUGAACAUAUACUGUCUUUAUAUUAUACAUGUUUUUCAUUCGUUUGUAUUUAAUUUUAUCAAGUGAUUUUGAAUGUUUUGAAACAGUCGCAGGAAUGUAUUUAUCUUCUUUCUAGUUUACGUGUUAAUUAUUUGAUCAUAAGAGAUUUCUACUUAAAAUGAUGUAAAUAAUAAUAUUUUAAAUGUUACGUAAUUGUGAUAAGCGUCAAUUUUACAAAGGACAUUUUAAAUCCAUGUAUAUACAUAGAUGUACACUAGCGAGCAAGUCUGGCUUCUUCUGGAGAAAAUUGAAAAAAAUUUGCUGCAGAUGAAAGAUCGUAAACAGUUAUCAAGUGUUAAGUUUAUAGAUCUAGAGUUUUAUAAAUUUGAACGUUUAGUAAUUUGUGAAAUUAUAGAUUUAAGAAUUCAUAAAUUUAGCUAUUUAGAAAUUUAAGAAUUUGGAAAUUUCAUAAUUUAAAAAUUGUCAUAUUAGUAUAAUUGGAAAUUCAGGGAUUCAAAACGGAAUUACCCAAAAAUCAGGAGAAGCCUACAUUGCACCCGGGUGUACAAAAGUUUUCGAUUGUGAAGUUCUGUGAUAUCGACGAAUAAUAACUAUACUUCGUUCUACGAAAGAUCAUACUUAAUUUGCGCAGCUCCACUAAGUUUAGAACGUUUCGCGCCAUCUUGGCUACCCUUCUGCCACUUGUUUUUCAUUCAUUCGACCACGUACACGGUCAACAAAAAUGAAAGAGAUAUUAAACUCAAUUUUUAGAAUAAUUUCACAUCAUAACUUGUUGGAGGAAUUUUAGAUAUAAUAAAAAAAUAUUGUGUUUAACAGAAAUCAGAAUUGAUGAGAGUGUCCACCAAGUAUAUACGACUAUGUUUAUAAUGUGCAUGCGCGUUGCUCUUAGUUAUUCAGUUUGUUAUAACCAAUCAGGAUCAACAUGCGUAGAUGAGCGAAAACUCAUCAUUCAAGUAGUAUGUAUGAUCUUAUAUGGAACGGAGUAAUUUAUACUGUACAGACUUCGAAAUCGCAAGUAGUAUAUGUCCGUGUUGAACAGACACUGAAAGAUGUGUUGAACAGCACUGAAAGAUGUGUUGAACAGACACUGAAAGAUGUGUUGAACACACCUGGUGUGUCAUUCGCGAUACUCAAACAUUAAUAUACAUUAUGUAAACAUUGUAAAGAAAUAUAUUGAUAUUUUCCAAUUGUA
rnacentral:misc_RNA from 1 species